UACGGGGGGGGCAAGCGUUGUUCGGAAUUACUGGGCGUAAAGCGCGUGUAGGCGGUUGCCCAAGUCGGGGGUGAAAGCCUUGAGCUCAACUCAAGAAAUGCACUCGGUACUGGGUGACUAGAGGACCGGAGAGGAUAGUGGAAUUCCCAGUGUAGUGGUGAAAUACGUAGAGAUUGGGAAGAGCACCAGUGGCGAAGGCGGCUAUCUGGACGGUUUCUGACGCUAAGACGCGAAAGCGUGGGGAGCAAACAGG
rnacentral:rRNA from 1 species